rnacentral:rRNA from 1 species
UACGUAGGGUGCGAGCGUUAAUCGGAAUUACUGGGCGUAAAGCGUGCGCAGGCGGCUUUGCAAGACAGAUGUGAAAUCCCCGGGCUCAACCUGGGAACUGCAUUUGUGACUGCAAGGCCAGAGUACGGCAGAGGGGGAUGGAAUUCCGCGUGUAGCAGUGAAAUGCGUAGAUAUGCGGAGGAACACCAAUGGCGAAGGCAAUCCCCUGGGCCUGUACUGACGCUCAUGCACGAAAGCGUGGGGAGCAAACAGG